ACACUGUUGGUGAAGUGGUUAUCAUGCUUGCUUUCCAUGCAUCCGUUCGAUUAGGGUUUAGCAAGCAGCUCGGGUUCAAUAUUAAUUCCCGGACGGUGUA